rnacentral:lncRNA from 1 species
AUAAUGUGAAAAAUAUCGCUUGGUGUACAUACAUACAACGAAUUUACAUAUAUAUGUAUACAGACCCAUGAUGUGAGUGAGUAAACCGCGUCGGUAUGUCUUGUUCAUGAAUCUUGCUAAAUUUGCGAAAAAUCUCUGCAUGAAAGGCGAAGUAGUUGACACAGGCCAAAUAAAAGCCAGCAUUCCUGCCGAAAUUUGUAAGCGCCGACAAGAUUACGUUGGAAAAGGCGGUUGCGGCAACAACCAGCCGCCUUUGUGUUGGUUAUACAAAUAUUCGGCCUCAGCAUCGAGGUCAAGCUGCAAAUGACUAAUAUCUGUGAAGUUCCAACGUACAUAUGUGCUCCAUAAGCAGCACUUUCAAGCGAAACGCGAGUUAUGACAAACUUUGAUGACGAAUCGGAAAACUCUUACGCUGAAAAUGUUCUUAAAAGCACCCACAGUGCUCAUAAAUAAUUAAACUUGUGUAUUCUUGGUGACAUUAUUAGAGCAGAACAGCAGAAAAGGCCAGUCAAAUGACAGACAGGCGCGGUACUCUGG